rnacentral:rRNA from 1 species
GUUUACAGCCAUACCACCCUGAAUGCAUCCACUCUGCUCUGAUCUCAGAAGCUCAAAAGGGUUGGACUUGCUUAGUACUUGAAUGGAAGACAGAUCUUCAAAAGAGACUGCUCAGAGACAGUUUGGA